rnacentral:rRNA from 1 species
GACGAACGCUGGCGGCGUGCUUAACACAUGCAAGUCGAACGAAGUGGCGAACGGGUGAGUAACGCGUAAUCAACCUGCCCUUCAGAGGGGGACAACAGUGGGAAACGACUGCUAAUACCGCAUACUGAAGGCGGGGAUUGCGUCUGAUUAGCUAGGUGGAGGGGUAACGUCCCACCAGGGCGAUGAACAGUAGCCGGUCUGAGAGGAAGAACGGCCACAUUGGGACUGAGAAACGGCCCAGACUUAUACAGGGGGCCGCAGUGGGGAAUCUCCCGCAAUGGACGAAAGUCUGACGGAUCAACGGCGCGUGAGUGAUGACGGCCUUCGGGUUGUAAAGCUCUGUUAAGAGGGACGCGGUACCGGAAUAGAAAGCCACGGCUAACUACGUGCCAGCAGCCGCGAUAAUAC